UGUAUUUCUUUAUUGGUGUUCAGCUGUAGAAGCAGGAGAGAUGUACAAACUACAUGGAUACAGCUCCAUCUACUGGUAGUACCUAAACACAAUCCACCAAAAUAAAAGCACUACAGACAGACAGACAGACAGGGACCCUUACUGGAUGCUACUUAAAGUGACCUGACACCUUUGUGUGUUGUUUGAUGUGUGGACAUUCUGCACUGGGGACAAUAAAGUUACCAUGACCAAUUUACCAAAAAUGAAUAAAAAAUAACGACUAUUAUUCAACGUAAAGGAUUUAAAUUGUAAUUGGGAUUAGAGCAGACACUAAUACAUGUUUGGAUGAACUCAGUAUGAUCAUUUUAAACUACACAGACCAACUGUUAUUACACCUUUGACAUAUUACAGCAGUCUCCAAUAAGUAUGAAAAUAUGCCUCAUGGGAUCACAGAUUAAUGUCGUAAACCACUGAGUGGCAAACGGUUUGUUAAGGGAUUUUGUAAUUUUAUGAUGUUUUUCCUUUUUGAUACAUCUUCCUUUUAAUGUUUCAUUUAUUCAGUUCUCCUUAUAUUGCUCCAUUUACUCAUUUACUCAUAUGCUCCUGUUAAGAAAGGCUUGAAAAGCACACAGUGUUCACAUAUCUUUAUGUUUUGUCUUUGCUUCUGCUCACACACAUACACAUGAGCCCUGCAGUAUUCGCUGACUCCUGUGAAAGUCUCUUGCAGACACCCUGGGAAACAGGACCCAAACUGGCUUCUGUUUUCCUCGAGAUAGAAACUGCACACACACACACACAUAUACACUGUGUCCCAUACAUGCCCAGAUUGUCUGUUACAGCCUGAUAAAACAGGGAAUGCUACGAUGUAUAAAUAAAGCUGACUACAAAGCCUCGGGGUGAGUAUCACUCGAUCACUCACCCGUGCGCACGUAGUUCUCUGAACAAAACUCUGACUGUUUCUGUAUUCUUUCAAUGUUUAAAAAUGUCUUGCCACUGACAUUUAAUUGGUCCUUCGAGCCGGAUAGUUUAUUGAUAUUAUUGUAUCAUCUAACUAUUCACAGACGGAGCCACCAGAUCCUGACGUCGUGACUACCUGCACUGCAACCACCGUUUCUAGCGAAGCGAGGAAAAGCCCAGAGUCGUACAUUCGCCUACUGGCCAGUGUCUUAUACAGGUCCACGACGCCAGGUUCUCGGUGACGCCGGGAAAAAGAACACAGCGCAACAUUGAAGUCUCUUCCAGGUUGAAACCAGGAGAUUGGAUCCUGAUAAAAGUGCUCCAGAGGAAAAAGUGGCAUUCCCCGAGGUGGGAAGGACCCUACCAACAGCCUGCAAAAUUGCUGAACGACCUUCCUGGAUUCAUCAGAGCCACUGUAAGAAAGUGAGUGACAGCCCAUAGACACUAAGACGCCAGCACCCCUGCCUGUUAGUGAUCUGGGAGGUGGAGAGAGGGCUGUUUGGGUAAAUCCCGCCCUUGUUCUUCUCGCCCCUAGUCUACUCACUCACAGGACCAGGUGUGUUCGGUCAUCAUGAAGACCCUACUCGUUCUAAUGGCCAGUGUCACAAUUCUGUUGGGACUGCUGUUACUGAUUCCACAAGAAGAACAACAGCACCACCUGGAGGCAAGACUGACACAUGACGCAAUACAUCCAGACGACAUGACACAAGAUCACAACCACCCAUGGAUGAACAAUGCCUGGUACCGUUAUGUGUGCAACUCCACAAGAGACAGAAACUAUUACAUCUGUUCGCACAUGCCAAAACACCUGAUAAUGUGCAUUCCACCAACUUGUCUGACACACUGAACACGCUACGUCAGCUCAGACGAGUACAGCAGCAAGAUUACACGCAAAACACAGCGGACUGGCUCACAUGGCUGCUUAGCGGGUCAUGGAAGUCAUUACUCACAAAAGGACUAACAUUCGUUGGAAUGCUCCUUAUGUUACUUUGCUUAUUUUCCACAUGUGUACUGCCUUGUAUUCGGAGUAUGAUAAGCAAAAUGUUUACUGUAAGAGUGCAAGCUUACAUUGCAUUAUCUCAAGUUGAACAAGCUCGAGAAGAGGUACAAGUUGAAGAAGAUGAUUUUCUAAGCACUAAACUGUGUAAACCCACUAAAGUUGAUCAUGUACGUUUUCACAAAAUGAUACUCUAGUUGAAAAUGCUUCUGCAAGUGACUAGUAGUUGAAGUACAUAAAUAUAUAUGAACAACAGCAGGGAAUGUUAAGGGAUUUUGUAAUUUUAUGAUGUUUUUCCUUUUUGAUACAUCUUCCUUUUAAUGUUUCAUUUAUUCAGUUCUCCUUAUAUUGCUCCAUUUACUCAUUUACUCAUAUGCUCCUGUUAAGAAAGGCUUGAAAAGCACACAGUGUUCACAUAUCUUUAUGUUUUGUCUUUGCUUCUGCUCACACACAUACACAUGAGCCCUGCAGUAUUCGCUGACUCCUGUGAAAGUCUCUUGCAGACACCCUGGGAAACAGGACCCAAACUGGCUUCUGUUUUCCUCGAGAUAGAAACUGCGCACACACACACACACAUAUACACUGUGUCCCAUACAUGCCCAGAUUGUCUGUUACAGCCUGAUAAAACAGGGAAUGCUACGAUGUAUAAAUAAAGCUGACUACAAAGCCUCGGGGUGAGUAUCACUCGAUCACUCACCCGUGCGCACGUAGUUCUCUGAACAAAACUC